CUCGCUGUGGCCGACCCAACCCGGACGCACAUCCCGGCUCCCCCGCCCGGAAGCGCCGUCAGGACCGGGGGCGCCGCUUGGGGAGGCGCGCGCCCGCCCCCCCCCCGCCCGCUCGCUGCCUCCGCCCCCGCGGAGCCCCGGCUGGGGCGGCCAGGGCAGGCGGCUCGGCCCGGGACUGGAGGGGUGGGGGCUGCCCGGGAGUCCCUCCCGUGGGGCUCGGUGUGGGGCCCCGGGGCGAGGGAGGGGUGGCGGGUGGGAUCUGCCCGCCUGGAUGUGAGAGGUUUUCGUGAGGGACGAUGCGGCCGAGGCUGAUCUUCCCGGCCCCCAGGGGCGUUCAGCCCUGCCUCGCUCCCUACCCGGCGGAUUCUUCCUCGACUCAUCUCCCACGGAAGGCAAGACUGCGCGACCGUCCGCGGGCGUCCCCCAGCCUGCGGCCGAAGGUACCAGGAUGCACUAAGGAAUUCAGCAGUGAAACUUCUCAACAAACUGGAUAACCCAAGCCCCAUGAGACACUUAUCAUAAUGCUGACUUUUGAGCAUCUAGAUCACGUUCUGUGAUUAUCAGGUACAAACAGUGUGUCAUAAAAUGACAAAGUAGCAUUUCUAAAUACAGUUAUUUCUGUUAACUCUAUAGAGACUGAUUAAAAAAUCAAAAUAAUUGAUCUGUGUGCUCUAUGGUUUUUCAGUAAUAAAAAUGCAGAGAAAAAUGGAAGUAUUUGAGGAAAACAUCAGGAUUGAAACACUGAAUAUUAGAUAAUUUGGUUAUAUGUAUUGAAGAAUCGUGUGUUGCCUUAGUAUUUGCUAUAGCUUACUUCAUCUGGAAAUGAAUUUGCCCAAAGAAAAUGCUGAAAGUGUUUAACGUUGUGUAUAUUCAGAGUUACUGAUAAAUCUGUGUUAGCUGAGUUGUUUGUAGUAAUGGACUUGCUUCUCUCUUCCUGCUCUUGCUACUUUAAGUGUGUAUCCAGUGAAUGAAAUGUAAUGGCUGCUGGAGAAAGCGGGAUCUGCCACCAAGCAAGAAGAAAACAAAGAUAUUAAUUGGGUAAUCCCUUGAAAGCAUUUCCCGGUAUCACAGAAAAUGUUUCUUUAACAGUUGACAGCAAAGGUACAAAGAGAUAGCAAAGAAGGGAGGAACUGUAUCAAAAUUAGCAAUAAGGAGCUUGAAAUUAAAUAUUCACUAUGGCAUUAGCACCAUAUUCCCCUGGAGAAGCAGGUUCUGAGUACUGCUUAUCAAUCUUUCAUGUGAUGGAUCUCCAAAUCAAAAUUUCAGUGACCGGGGGCAAAAUGAGGAGCGCUAGAAGUAGAAAUUACCUGGCGAUAAGAAAACAAACCAAACAGUCUUCUGAUUAAAAUUUGCUGCUGAAGGUAGCUGGAGAGAACGGCAUUAAUGAUGAGCAGAAGGCGUAGGCAGUCAGAUUUUUUUAUUAGUAAUUAAUUCCUUUAUUUAAAUUUGGCAGGAUGUACAGACCCUUCUGAAGUAUUUUGGAGAACACAGCGCUUACUGUAGUCAAGCAAACUAUCAGCUUAUUUUUACUUUAUUCUCAGGGAAUGUUGUUGAUUGGAGCAUUACAUCUGAAUUUCUAGAAUUUGGAGUGAUAGAAAUGAGGUUCAAGUUCACAGCAUUACAUCUAGGCACCUGAGUUCAUCUAAAACCAUGCAACAGAGGUGAGAGGAGUUUUGGAUAUACUGCGGACUUAUGGCUGGCCUGGAAAUCAGUGGAGCCGAAGAAUCUGAGUAACCUAGAAAGCUGUUACCUCUAUAUGUACACACAUGCAUACAUAUAUAUAUACGCAUGUGUACCUGACAGUAUAUGUGCAUAUGGGGACUGAAACAUCGUAUGAAAAUGCAUUUUUUUACUUCUCUGUAUUUGUGAAUAAACCUUUUGACAGCAUUUCUGAGAAGAAUUAAGCAGAUAGAAUAGAAACCAGAUACAAGGAAGGUGACAAUAAUCCUGUGAAAUUAAAAAGAUUCCAAUUAACUGGUUUCUUAAAACUGUGAAAUGUCUAAUAGGAAAAAAAAAAAAGUAUCAGCAGCAAUCAUUACUGUGGGGAAAUUAGCUUGCUAUCCAACAGGAUAAAGUCAAAAAAGGUCUAAGAAGGUCAGAAGAAAGCAGGUGAUUCCAUUGCUUUAGUCUUUAGAACUUGUUAUGAAAAUGCAUACAAUUAAUUAAAACAAAGCUACCCAGAGACCUAAGGUGUGAAGAGUUUUUCUUGCUACCCACUGUCGUUGGUAAGUGCUGUUCAGACUUUCUGCAGAGCUGUAUUUUAAUCCUCAUGUGAAAUUAGAGGAAAAUGUUCCUAUGAAGUGCAAAACCUUCCUAAUGAGAAAUUAAUCCCACUCAGGAACUGGAAUUGCCAGAGUACAAUAAAUUACAGUUAAGUGAGGUCAUUCUCAGAGGCAAUUAUGGGUUUUACAAAGAUAGUAAUUGACUUCUUUUCUUCAUAGGUAGAUUGUCAUUCAUCAACAUUUAGUGUCCCCACAUUUUUCAAGUUCUCUUUUGAGUCACUGAAGGCUUUAUAGGAAAUGAUGAUUUGAGAAAUACCUUGUGUGACCUUAUCUAUUUUGUGGCCUAAUCUUGGCAGUCAGUAAGUAAUAUUUACUGGUGUAAUAGCUUUUGAAACUUGCCCUGGCAGGAAUUAGAGAAAAAAAGCCCAUACACAUGCGGAUCCCUGUAGCUAGGUAUGUAAUGUGUUUUCCUGGUUGCCAGAUUUUUAUUAUUUGAUAAUUUUUUUCAGGGACUGGAAUAAUUAAUAACUGUCACAUUAGUAGAAGUGGAAAAAAAUCAGCUUUGUGUACAAUGAGUCAUAUGCGUGCAAACUACUUUUGAAUUAAAGAAGACCUGUAAGAUAUUCGUGAUGCUGUGACCAGCCACUGGUAGAUCAUAUGGCAGACGACUCACAGCUCAUUUUCGGCAGUCUGAGCAGAGGUUGUGUAGUGGUGGUGUCAGAACUGGCCCAUGGAUCCUUGGUGCACAGACUGCUGAAGCCCUGGUGAUGGGGAAAGCUUGCAGCAGGAUCAAUAUAACAGUAAUGAAGAAAAUACCUUCAGGCAAAAAUCAGGGUAAAGUCUCACUGUGAACCCUGGAAAAUUCCAGGCUAGAACAAGCCUCACAAGACAUUGAUGAGUGUGAUCAGGAAGGUGUGGUUUAGACCUAAGGACUAAAAAUCCUGUGGACUUUUCUGUUUCCUUGAGCACUGCCUUCAGAUCAGCAGCCUCUGCACUACUCUGAGGUAGCUGGGACAUCUGGAGAUCUUGCACGAAACUGCUAAAUAGAUGUGGAUAGGCAUAUUGAGGAAAUUAAGAGGAUAAGCUGUCUGGAAGCUAGGACAAAUGGGUAUGAUCUGGUAACUAGAACUGAAGAUUGUUUGAAGGUGGUAUUUUGGGGCAAGGACUAUGAGUAGGCAUGGAGGUUCAGGUUGCUAAGGCUCCUAAUGUGAACUGGAAGUCCAAGGGGGAGUAGGGUUCAGUUGCAGAAGGAGCCUGAGACUUCAAGCUUACACGGCUGCUCCAUCUUUUCUUCUUACAACUUCAUGGCAGGGAUCCAGCAUGAGAAGCGAGGAGACAGGAAUUGUUUGUCUAUUCAUAGCAGCUCCACAUACCUUGAAAACUGGUAAGUGUAUCUAGGAGUUUAACAUUUGAAGGGAAUACUCAGGAUACUGCUAUCCACCUCCGUGUGCUGUGCCUCUCACUCAGUUGCACUGGAACAACUGUUUGUGUGCUCACAAUGUAAAUUGGAUUAUGAACUGAACUAUGUUCAAAAAACCACUGGUUUUUUUCUUAAUUGCAAAUCAGUUCCCUGAUCUGCUUCACAGCAUGGCACAUCAUCACACAGAGAUGUGAGAAAAUGCCUAUGUUAGCAUCACUGCUGAAUUUAUCAUAAUGUGAAACUAUGGUGUGUGAAACCAUGUGAGAUAUGGAAUAUUCUAUAGAACUGAAUUCUGGUAGUCAUAACUUUAAGGACCUUACAAUAAAAUACCUUCUGUAAGACAUACAAGAGAACAGAGAAAGCAGUAUUGUGACAAAAAGUCCUGUUUUUUUUCUCAUUAGAAACAAUGUUAAAUUUGCAAGAUGGGCACCAGAUCACCUACCAGUAUUGUCCCCAUUCGGUAGAAUCAUAGAAUCAUUUAGGUUGGAAAGACCUUUAAGAUCAUCAAGUCCAACUGUUAACCUAGCACUGCCAAAUCCACCACUGAACCACGUCUCUAAGCACCACAUCUACACGUCUAUUAAAUACCUCCAGGGAUGGUGACUCAACCACUUCCUGGGGCAGCCUUUCGGUGAAGAAACUUUUCCUAAUAUCCAGUCUAAACCUUCCCUGGUACAACUUGAGGUAAUUUCCUCUCAUCCUAAUACUUGUUACUUGGGAGAAGAGACCAACCCCCACCUCGCUACAACCUCCUCUCAGGUAGGUUGUAAGGUCUCCCCUGAGCCUCCUUUCCUCCAGGCUAAACAACCCCAGUUUCCUCAGCCACUCAUAAGACUUGUGCUCCAGACCCUUCACCAGAUUCAUUGCCCUUCUCUGGACACGCUCCAGCACCUCAAUGUCUUUCUUGUAGUGAGGGGCCCAAAACUGAAGAGAGUAUCCAAGGUGUGGCCUCACCAGUGCCGAGUACAGGGGCCCGAUCGCUUCCCUGGUCCUGCUGGCCACACCAUUCCUGAUACAAGUCAGGAUGCUGUUGGCCUUCUUGGCCACUUGGGCACACAUGCAAUAUUUUGUGGUGAAGACAGGGGCUCAUUAUUUGAGUAGCAAAUACUGUCCACACAGCUGAUCUCUGCUGACUGCCUUUGCAGACUGUUGCUAAUGUAAUCGCAGAAGAAUUCUCUGUUUGAGCUGGCAGCUGGUAAUGGUGGUGAAUGAUUCCUUCUAAUAAAUGUAGAUUCCAAAUAAUAUCGAUAGAAACCAAAUAAUACAGACUGAUAAACAUCUCAAGGAUGGUAAACAUUCAACAUAUUGCCUGAAAAUUGGCAGCUAAGUAGAUGAAAGAGACCUAGAUACAUGGAUGUGUUCCCCAGAGGCAAGAGAGCAGAAAUCAUCUGUCACUUUUGAUAGCCACUACUUAGCUUAAUCAGUGUCCAGGCUAUGCUCAGCACAUGCACUAUCUCCUGUCAGUGACGAAGAAAAUAGGAACCUAGGAAGCAAAGUGGGGGAGAGUGUUAGGUUAUUGUGUGUAAAAGAGGAUUGUAGGCAUGCUAGGGGAAAGAAAAGAUGAUGAUCCAUAAAAAGACAAAUUGUAUGUGUUCUCCUGAUCAUGGAAUAAGUGCUGUACCUCUAAUGCCAUAGAGAGUUCAGGAAUUAUGCCAGGUCCCAGAUGUUUCAGGGAGAUCUUCUUUAUUCAAUGAUCUGUUCCCACAGCCUAUGUGGGUCACUCUCCAUUCCCAGCUGGAACAAAGCUACUCAGAAAUCCAGACCUCUAGGCCACAGCAGGCACUGCUAGCUUUAUAGCUACACCAAGCUGGAAUUAAUUGUUUUGCAACACCUGUGUGGAGUAACAGGGACGGAAGGGAAUGGAUAAUAUGGUUUGUUACCUUUUCCCUUCUGUUUUUAGUUUAUUUAAAUUCUCAAGUGGACCUAAAAUUCUGGAAAUAGUGUUAUUAGCACCUGUGACAAAUACAAGAUACACUAUCUUGUCAGGUUUGCUCUCCUCAACUUUUGGUCUACUUAUCUACAGUUAUAAUUGCAAUGAAUAAGCCAAAACUGAGAUGAGAACCUGGGCAACCAUGUCACACUUUAAUGAGCUGAAACUGUUUUAGAUAUCAUAUCCCUGGCAAAACCUCAGCCUGAAUAUGAGAGUGUUGCCUCAAAAUGUUCUCCCAGCUGACUGCCAAAGGCUUUUUCUGUAUUAAAUGAGAGCCCCAGCACUUGAUCUACUUUUACAUAAAUUUAAAUCCUGACUUUUUUGUGGCUCAUGUAGUACUGCUGUUAUCAUCCUAGUUUCUGUGUCUGUAGUCCAAAAUAGUUAUAGCUUGUCUGUAUGGUUUAUUUUGUUUUAAAUGUUUCUGGUCAUGAUCCUUACAUUAAAAAAAAAUUCCUUAACUGUUUUUAAAACUUUCAGGAAUUAUUAAAAUAGAAAGAAAUGAAAAAAAAUGUAAAUUAUUAGCAAUUAAUUUAUCCUUUUUUUUUUUCUUUCACUCUUGGCAACAAAAUUAGGUAAGAUAUAUGCAUGGUUAUUGCUGCAGUCUGCGAGGGACUUAGAAGUAACUUUUUAUUAGUAUGGCAAAAGAGAUAAAACUGAUGGAUUUGUAAGAGCUUAGUUUUAUAAACUUUGCUUCAAAUUGAGUAUUUAAUUUGACAACAGUCUCUAAGGACAUUUAAAUACCCUUUUCCUUAAAAUAAUGUAUUGUUCAAAGGUUAGAAUUUUGGGAUUUUGAUGGAGUAAGCCUCAUAAUGCAAAUAAUACCAACCAUGAACUGAUGCUGUGCUUCUUAAGCUACUUCUUCUGCAUUAAGAAACAGCAAUACUUUGCCUCCCAGGGUCAGAAUGUAAGUGUCUUUACAAUAUUAGUCACAGAACUUAUUGCAUAUCAAACCAUUAUUGGUGCAUUUUGAGAUGUCGAUGCCACGACAUCAUUCAGACAUGCAGGUUUGCGCGUGUGUAAUGAAUUGCUUCUCCAAGAGUGUGGCUCCUAGAGUCCACUGCAAUAUUAACGACGAGAAGGAAGAAAGGUAAUUUGCUGCCUUUGUACAAACGUUCUCAGCUAAAAAUGUAUCCAGCAUACAUAAAGCUUUUUCUUUUUAAAUAAAAAAAGCCAGUUUCAGAGAGCUGAAGAAAUCUGAGUAACUCGGCUAUAGUCAGGCUUGUGUAGCGAGCACAGCUGGGCUCCAGACACUGACUCAUUCUCCAAUUACCACUACCCAGCUUUUUUUUCCGACAGGCUCUCUUCGGCCAAUAAAUCUUCCAGCUUUCUAUAAUAUACUGUCAGGCUGAGGUCAUGUCAAUGUAGACAUAAAAACUAAAUCUAUGUUCACACCCAUAAGGAAGAAAAUAAGGCAAGAAAUUUGGAACUAACUAGCACCAAUAAAAGCAAAUAAACAACUGGGAAACAUACAGACAACUUUAGAACUUCUUUGUACAGAUCACAGGGGAAAUACUCUGCAUCUGUGUUAACCAGCCUUCCCUCUCUAAGUCUUCUGUAUUGCUGUUGCAAGCAGGAGAGGAAGGCAAUUUAUAUGAAAGAAAGGCUACCCUUAGUUAAAACCAACAAGACAACAAAAUUUGACUUUGUAAGAUGUUACAGCCAAACUAUAGGGAAAAAACCCCUACCUUUUGGUAAAUAUAAGAAAAUAAACAGUGGUGUCUACCAGCCCCAGCAUUGCUGUCUUAUGUGAAUAAUUAUCGAUUUGAAGGACCAUUUGCAAUGUCUUGCUGCAAAUUGCAGAUAUGUAAUGUGUUGUACAUUCUUGUGACCACAGCGUGUGGGCUUUACUAAGUUUUGGCACAGCCAGAUCUCCCUUUUACUUCAAGUUUACUCCAGAAAACUUGGAUUUCAGUUUAACUGGAAGAUCCUAAGAUCCACUUUUUCCCAAACCAGGUAUCUUAAAAAAAUUUUAGUUGUACGGAUCCAUACAGUAGAUAAAAGUCUAUGGCCUGUCGUACAUAGUCAAUUUAAAUAUAUUUCCUUCUGGCUCUGAAAGUCUAUUAAAAAACAAAGCAGAAAAAAGUAUAUCAUAGAGCAUAUUUUAUUUUUUCUAAUUGUGAGACCAGUCUCUUUCUGUAGGCCACCAGCAAGCACCUUACAGUCAAUCACAAUUUAAAAUAGACAAUUGUCACUGAUGGAAAAUGAUCUGUCAAUCACAAAAACAAUAUAGAAAUUAUACUUUGAAUUUCCAGAGCGAUCUUAUUUUCUAAGGAGUUUUUACAGAUAUCCAAAGAUUCUAGCCAACUGACUUCUUAGUCAGUUUCAUGCAGCAUGGGAAAGAUAAUAUCCCAAAGUUAAAAUAUGGCUGACAAACAGGAUAGGAGAGAGUCCCAACAGCAAAACCAAAUUGAUAUAAAAAUUUGGUCGGUUUUGCAAAAUCUCAGCCAGACAUUUUUUUCAGACUUUUCAAAGAUAAAAAACCUCAGGGAGAAUGAUUUUCUGACAUUUUCUUUGGCUACUACUGAAAACUCAUCUAUAUUCAGGUUGUUACACUUGAACUUUGAAGAGUCUGUCAUGGCAACCUUAAAAAAAAGUUAGUGACUUCAGCUUUAGCUUACUGAGGGGCACGAGUGAAUGCAGAUAUUUUUACACCAGGCUCUGAGGAAAAUGCUCCAUAGAAGCCAUACAAGUAAAACACUAUGAAGAAGGGUAAAUGAAGUGGGAAGUUAUGCUAGUCUUGUGCCUCCAAAGCCAAUAAUCUGUAAGAGAAAAUGUAUUUGUAAUUAUCUAAAAUGUCAUUACCUCCCUCUGCUCCUUUUCAUACAUCGCAUCACCAAAUUUUCAGAAAAGCCCUUUGUCCAAUGUGUUCCUUUGAAUCUCAGUACUGUCAGGAGACUGCGCCAGGAGGUGCAGAUGUGCCACUGUUGCCUACUUGGCCUAUGCCUCCAUUUGGAGGGGCUGGGAGGUGGUAGCUCUGCUCCUCUUCCUGGGACAGUCUGAACACCUUGGGUGGCAAAGCUGAGAUGGAGCCAGAACGAAGAACUGCUGAAUGGGGAGAGCCUAGGGAUGCAGAUAAGCAGUGCAUUGGGUUUGCAUGGCAAGGUUUUGGUGGGGGUGGGCUGCAGGGAUGGCUUCUGUGAGAAGUUGCUAGAAGCUUCCCCCACAUCCAAUAGAGCCAGCGCCAGCCGGACCUGCCACUGGCCAAGGCUGAGCCCAUCAGCAAUGGUGGUAGUGCCUCUAGGAUAACAUAUUUAAGAAGCAGGGGAAACUGCCACAACAGCAGCUGGAGAGAGAACAUGAGAUGGAAACAGCCCUGCAGACACCAAGGUCAGUGAAGCAGGAGGGGGAGGAGGCGCUCAAGGUGCAGGAGCAAAGAUUCCCUUGCAGCCCCUGGUGAAGACCAUGGUGAGGCAGGCUGUGCCCCUGCAGCCCAGGGAGGUCCAUGGUGGAGCACAUAUCCACCUGCAGCCCUUGGAGGACCCCACGCUGGAGCAGGUGGAUGCACCUGAAGGAGGCUGUGACCCUGUAGGAAGCCCAUGCUGGAGCAAGCUCCUGGCAGGCCCUGUGGACCCGUGGAGAGAGGAACCCACGCUGGAGCAGGUUUGCUGGCAGGACUUGUGACCCCAUGGAAGGGACCCACACUGGAGAAGUUCAUGAAGAACUGCAGCCCAUAGGAAGGACUCACGUUGAAGAAAUUUGUGGAGGACUGUCUCCCAUGGGAGGGACCUCACGCUGGAGCAGGGGAAGAGUGUGAGGAGUCCUCCCCUGAGGAUGAAGAAGCAGCAGAGACAACGUGUGAUGAACUGACUGCAACCCCCAUUCCCUGUUCCCCUGUGCUGUUGGCAGGGAGGAGGUAGAGAAUUUGGGAGUGAAGUUGAGCCUGGGAAGAAGGGAGGGGUGGGGGAAAGGUUUUUUAAGAUUGAGUUUUUAUUUCUCAUUACCCUACUCUGAUUUGAUUGGCAAUAAAUUUAAUUAAUUUCUCCAA